rnacentral:piRNA from 1 species
UGUGUGUAUGUUGAAGCAACA